CUGCCUUGCAGGCCGAAAACAAGUCUGAAAGGGCCGGACGGGAACAAAAAGACACGAAAUAGAGCCCACGAAUGGUGUUUAAACUCGGGGCUGGGAGAGGCAGAGCCUGCGCACCACGUUAAAUGGGAGCGCUCCGGGCCGCCGAGCGGGAAAGGGCGGGAGAGGCCACAGGCCUUAAAAUGCUGCUCGCAAGAGGCUGGCAAGCGAUAAAUGCCUUCAAAUCAUCAGUGAGGAGAGACUGCGGGAGCUGGGCCUGAUGGGACCUCAUGUAAACCAGGCAGGAGAGAUGUUCCCAAAAUGGAAUAAUUUCCCACCAGAACUCAUAUACUGAAACCUAAUUGAUAUUGAAAAGUCUGUGCUCUGCCAUGUCUUCAAAUCCAUGGAAUUUGGUGAGAAGUCUGAGUGAGCAGUUACACUGCCCUUAUGAGGAGGGAUCCUGAGCACUGGAGAUGGUUGGAGAGGUUGUUCCAGGUGGGGUGGGUGGGCUUUGGUUUGUAAAUCUCACUGGACAAAUCAGUUUUGCUGCAUUUUAAAACCUGGCAGAAGAGUCCCACAUUGCUGUGUGCAACAGGGUGGUUUAUUCUGCUGUCCUCAUAUAAUCC